rnacentral:tRNA from 1 species
GUGGGUGUAGCUUAGUGGUAGAGCAUUAGCCUAAUAUGUGCCAAGCCCUGGUUUUGACCCCCAGCACCCCCC